rnacentral:tRNA from 1 species
GAGCUCUUAGUAUAAUUAAGUAUAGUAUAUUGCAGAUUUAUUGGUUUAUGGGUUCU